rnacentral:lncRNA from 1 species
GGCGUGUCUGCAACAGGGUCUCUGCCGCCCACGGAAACCUAUUGCCGCCGCUGCUACAGUGUUGGUCACUCGGCCAGGCUGCCUUGCGUGUUAUGACUGUUAUCGACGAUGCUUAAGACAUCAGUUACCAAUAUGAAGGUAACAAGCGGAGAGGAGUGAAUUUGUGCUGCCCCGUACCUCUCUGAUCGUUCAAGGUUCCUGUCCUAGUGCCGUCAACCUAGUGCCUGGUGGGUGCCAGGCCGUCAGCCUGCCGCGCGCCCUGGCCCCCACCAGCACGGUGCCCAAGAAGCCACUAUACCACAUUCCAUCGUCGCCACCAUCUGCUCCCCCACUGAGUCCCACUGUCACUGCGCCCGCCGCUGCGGAUCACCACCCUACCACCCUUGCUGCCGUUACUACCCUUCCGCUGCAGUGACAAGAAAGGUGGCUCUCCCUCUCAAGGGGGAAAGUGGGCUGUGCCGCCACGCCAAGUUGGUGCAAGUCUGAGGCCGAAGGUUUCGCCUCAUCUCCCUGACAUAGCCGGGGUCGGUUUGUACAGGCACCGCAGCCUAUUCAUCGGCCGUCAACAGGCCUUAGUAAAUACUCACGUCAGUGCUCGUAUCUUCCUUCGUUCGGAACGAAAUUUGCCAAGGAAGGCCUCUGGCCACUUUGAGCCGAAGGACAGGGGGUUCCAGCGGCUACUCCACGGCGAAACCUGCGUGGCAUGUGGUAAGAAGACUCAGAGGGCUGCAUCUAUGGGUGUUGACGGCGGGAGAGUGAGGUUGGGUCGGCGGGAAGCAGGGGAGGAGUGGGCGUGUCGUGUCGGUGUCGACAUCUGAGAAUGUUCUGGGGCAUUGGGUUCACUACUUCACUGUUAUAUUCCCGCGCAAAUGGCGUCCGCCGAGAUCGCUGACACCGCUGCACACGAUCCGUGCGGGUCGGGGGCGGAAAACUUUUGGGGGUGAACGAAGCGGCGGCAGCCUGUUUCGUCAACCAAACGAAGCCAUUUUGAGGAAUUCGGCCACUGACGCCGCCCCUGCUUUCGUAAGAUACGAGCGCUGACUCACGUGUCACCACUGUUGCAGUUAUGAUAUUGACGAGUGUUGCGGAACUAAUGCGUACGUAGACCAGAGCGGAAGGCGGAGUGGGCGUGCAGGCGGCACGAGAGUAGGCAGUCAGUAGCGCAAGUUGCGAUGUUACAGCUCUCCAUCCCAGCCACCGUUCCCAUCAGCUCCCUGCCCCCUCCUGCCCACGGCCAAUCCUGCUGCCACGGAUAAAGUCACUCCCAAGGGCACCGUGCAGCACGGGGCCAAGAACCCGUCAUGAGCCACUAUCUAUUCAGCCCCCAAUAAGGGAAUGAUAAGGGAACGUGCGUCAUCCCGGCGCCAAUCUGUGAGCCCGUGUUUCGAGGCGUUAGUAUUGCCGAUGGUUGCAGACAACUCCCUCCUCCAAAUCGCUAUAGGCUGCGCGAAGCAGUUCCGAGUACUGACGGGGAUGUCGCGAGUUUGCCACGCCAUGCGUGUGGGACACUCUGGACAUCCCCAGUGCCCGCUUGCAACACCGCGCAACAUCUGCAUGGCCCCCGAGGUUGGGGCGUUGGGCCUUGAAUGACGCCGGUGAGCCCAGGGCUUGCAUCUUCGGGGAGCGGCAAGAAGCGGGCCCCAAUGUAGGCCCUCGGGCGAGAAAGAUUGGGCAAUUCCGGGGGUGCAUUCUCGCCGUGUGGGGCUGCAUACGGUCCCCGAAUCUCGCCGACUACCCCUUUCCGGGGGGGUUUGGGUGGGGCGGAGCCCCCCCCCAAACGCUAAAAACUAGGCAUUUUUGGGCCCCCGGAUGCCGUGGGCGAGAACGUGGUUAGGGCCCUUCUCGCCUGCGGCGGCGGCCCACCCCAGGAAGAUGCAAGCCCUGGGUGAGCCUGCACUCUGCAGCCCGGCCUGGCCCGGCACACAUAC